AUGGGGUUUUGCAAAAAAAAACAACACGUUUGCCUCCAGACUCCCAUCCAACACAGCUCGGCGAGCCUGGGAAACUACGAGGGGCUGAAUUUGAACAGGAGCCUCUUGGUGCAAGGCCAGGGCGGCCGCUGCGGGGCACAGACAUGGCGAGGGGCAGCCCGGCGGGCGCAACACCCUCCCCUCCGCCCACCCUCCCGCCCGCCAUUGCCUCCCCUCAGCCCCUUCCCUCAGCGCCCUUCCCGCCAAACCCCCCGCCGCGCCGCCAUUGGCUGGCGGGCCGGACCAAUGGCGGGGCCGUUGCUGGGCAGGGUAGGGCCGGGCGUGGCGCGGGCGCACGUGGCGCGGGGUCGAGGCGCGCGCGCGCGGGAACCGCAGCAGCCGCCGGGCGCGGGCGCGCCCCGUCCGCGCGUCCGGGUCCUGUCCGUGUGUCCCGGCCGCGUGUCCCCAUCCUGCGGCUCCCGGCACCCGCAUGGGCAGGUACGCGGCGGUACCGGCCCUUCUGCGCCACCGGGCCCGUGGCCGCGCCCCGCACCCGGCGCUUCGUGGCCGUGGGGCAGGCUGCGGGCCCCAAAACCGCCCGGUUUUGCCUCGGAAUCGGCGCGGCCGCUGCCCCCUGGCGGCCGGUGCCGUGUUUGGGGCUGGGAGGGAGGCCUUGGAGGUCGGUGUGGCCGUCGCGGGAAUCUGCAGAGCGUAAAAACGGAUGUCCCCGGGCUCGCCGUCGUCGGCCGCCCCGCGGCUGCUGUACCGCAGCACCCGCCUGCUCCAUGCGGCCUUCCUGCAGCUGCACCAGCAGCAGCAGCGGGAGGACGUCUUCUGCGACGUGGUGCUGCGGGCGGAAGGAGAGGCGGUGGCAGCCCACUGCUGCGUCCUCUCGGUGUGCAGCCCCUUCUUCAUGGAGCAGCUGGCCCGGGAGCUGCCCCCCAAGGGGCGCAGGGUGGUGCUGGAGCUGCAGGGGCUGAAGAUCGGGGCGCUGCGCAAGCUGGUGCACUUCCUCUACACCGCCGAGCUGGAGGCGUCCUCGGAGGAGGCGCAGGAGGUGCUGGCGGCCGCCCGGCAGCUCCGCGUGGCCGAGCUCGAGUCGCUGCAGCUGCAGGGGGGCUGCCUGGUGCACCCUGGGCCCCGCUGGAGGCUCGACCGCAGCUGCCUGCGCGCCCCCCAGCCCGGCUCCCCGAGGCUCUGCCCCAUAGCGGGCAGCGGGGCUGA
rnacentral:lncRNA from 1 species